UGGAGCUGACCGGUACUAAUCGGCCGUGAGGCUUGACCAUCCCUUCUCUGAAGGAAAUGGAUCUUCGCAAUCGUACACUCACCCUAUUCUUCCCUUUUGGGCUGGUGGCUAUGGCGAGGAGGCCACACCCGUUCCCAUCCCGAACACGGCCGUUAAGCUCCUCAGCGCCUAUGGUACUGCGCGGGAAACCGCGUGGAAGAGUCGGUCGCUGCCAGCC
rnacentral:rRNA from 1 species